rnacentral:rRNA from 1 species
AGAAUUACUCAAGAGGCUGAAGAGGACGGUUUGCUAAAUCGUUAGGUCGGGUAACUGGCGCAAGGGUUCGAAUCCCUUAUUCUCCGUUUUAAUGAGAGUUUGUAACUCUCUUUUUUAUUUUUAGAGACAAUAAAGCUUCAGAUCCGUAAAACUUAAUUGAAUUACUAAUCUGAAGUUAUUUUUAUGGCUCUUUGUCAACUGUAGUGGGUUGAAGAAAAGCUAAGCUCGAGAAAGGACAAAUUUUGUCCUUUCUUUUUUGAUGUUCAAAGCGAUGAAAAUCCGUUUUUUGAAGUUUUCAAAGUUCCGAAAUCCAAAGGCAUUGCGCUUGAUAAGUUUGAUGAGAUUAUUGGUCGCUUCCAGUUUGGCAUUAGAAUAGGGUAGUUGAAGGGCGUUAAUAAUCUUUUCUUUAUCUUUGAGGAAGGUUUUAAAGACAGUCUGAAAAAUAGGAUGAACCUGCUUAAGAUUGUCCUCAAUAAGUUCGAAAAAUUUCUCUGGUUCCUUAUUCUGGAAGUGAAAAAGUAAGAGCUGAUAGUGGUGUUUCAAGUCUUCCGAAUAACUCAAAAGCUUGUUUAAAAUCUCUUUAUUGGUUAAGUGCAUACGAAAAGUAGGACGAUAAAAUCGCUUAUCACUCAGUUUACGACUAUCCUGUUGUAUGAGCUUCCAGUAGCGCUUGAUAGCCUUGUAUUCAUGGGAUUUUCGAUGAAACUGAUUCAUGAUUUGAACACGCACACGACUCAUAGCACGGCUAAGAUGUUGUACAAUGUGAAAGCGAUCCAACACGAUUUUAGCACAUGGGAAAAGUUGUCUAGCUAAGUCAUAGUAAGGACUAAACAUAUCCAUAGUAAUAAUUUUGACGCGACAUCGGACGGCUCUAUCAUAUUUAAGAAAGUGAUCUCGGAUGACAGCUUGUGUUCUACCUUCAAGAACAGUGAUGAUAUCGAGCUUUUCAAAAUCUUGCGCAAUAAAGCUCAUCUCCAUCUCCCGAUUGAAACAGUCACUCCCCGGACUGUUUCAACGUCCCAAGACAUAAUCUUAGGCAGAUUUCUAAAAUUACACUCAAAGUGGAAGUCAUUGAGCUUUCGAAUGACAGUUGAAGUUGAGAUGGAAAGCUGAUGGGCAAUAUCAGUCAUAGAAAUCUUUUCAAUUAANGUAGUCGAGGCGAGUAGCCUCAGGUGAGCGAGAGAACUCUCGUUAAGGAACUCGGCAAAAUGACCCCGUAACUUCGGGAGAAGGGGUGCUGACUUUAAGUCAGCCGCAGUGAAUAGGCCCAAGCAACUGUUUAUCAAAAACACAGCUCUCUGCUAAAUCGUAAGAUGAUGUAUAGGGGGUGACGCCUGCCCGGUGCUGGAAGGUUAAGAGGAGUGCUUAGCGUAAGCGAAGGUAUGAAUUGAAGCCCCAGUAAACGGCGGCCGUAACUAUAACGGUCCUAAGGUAGCGAAAUUCCUUGUCGGGUAAGUUCCGACCCGCACGAAAGGCGUAAUGAUUUGGGCACUGUCUCAACGAGAGACUCGGUGAAAUUUUAGUACCUGUGAAGAUGCAGGUUACCCGCGACAGGACGGAAAGACCCCAUGGAGCUUUACUGCAGUUUGAUAUUGAGUGUCUGUACCACAUGUACAGGAUAGGUAGGAGUCUAAGAGAUCGGGACGCCAGUUUCGAAGGAGACGCUGUUGGGAUACUACCCUUGUGUUAUGGCCACUCUAACCCAGAUAGGUGAUCCCUAUCGGAGACAGUGUCUGACGGGCAGUUUGACUGGGGCGGUCGCCUCCUAAAAGGUAACGGAGGCGCCCAAAGGUUCCCUCAGAAUGGUUGGAAAUCAUUCGCAGAGUGUAAAGGUAUAAGGGAGCUUGACUGCGAGAGCUACAACUCGAGCAGGGACGAAAGUCGGGCUUAGUGAUCCGGUGGUUCCGUAUGGAAGGGCCAUCGCUCAACGGAUAAAAGCUACCCUGGGGAUAACAGGCUUAUCUCCCCCAAGAGUUCACAUCGACGGGGAGGUUUGGCACCUCGAUGUCGGCUCGUCGCAUCCUGGGGCUGUAGUCGGUCCCAAGGGUUGGGCUGUUCGCCCAUUAAAGCGGCACGCGAGCUGGGUUCAGAACGUCGUGAGACAGUUCGGUCCCUAUCCGUCGCGGGCGUAGGAAAUUUGAGAGGAUCUGCUCCUAGUACGAGAGGACCAGAGUGGACUUACCGCUGGUGUACCAGUUGUCUUGCCAAAGGCAUCGCUGGGUAGCUAUGUAGGGAAGGGAUAAACGCUGAAAGCAUCUAAGUGUGAAACCCACCUCAAGAUGAGAUUUCCCAUGAUUAUAUAUCAGUAAGAGCCCUGAGAGAUGAUCAGGUAGAUAGGUUAGAAGUGGAAGUGUGGCGACACAUGUAGCGGACUAAUACUAAUAGCUCGAGGACUUAUCCAA